UAUCUCUGUAGAGUCUGCAUAUCAAUAAGCGGAGGAAAAGAAACUAACAAGGAUUCCCUUAGUAACGGCGAGUGAAGCGGGAAGAGCUCAAAUUUGAAAUCUUCAAGGUUUUACCUUGACGAAUUGUAGUUUAAAGAAGUGUUUUCUGUUGAAGUUUCGGUAAAAGUUCUUUGGAAUAGGACAUCAUAGAGGGUGAGAAUCCCGUAUUUGACCGUUAUUUUCAGCUGUGUGAUACACUUUCAAAGAGUCGGAUUGUUUGGGAAUGCAGUCCAAAAUGGGUGGUAAAUUUCAUCUAAAGCUAAAUAUUGGCGAGAGACCGAUAGCGAACAAGUACCGUGAGGGAAAGAUGAAAAGAACUUUGAAAAGAGAGUUAAACAGUACGUGAAAUUGUCAAAAGGGAAGCGUUUGACACCAGUGUUGUUUUCUCGAAAAUCAAUUAAAAAUGGCUUGAUUUUGUGUUGUAUUGACCUUAAAAGCUUUCUUCACUCUUUUCAUGUCUUUUUUAAUGCACUUUUCGUUUAACAAGUCAACAUCAGUUUCUUUUGUUGUAAAAAGGUCAUUGGAAGGUGGCUUUCUUUUCGGAGAAAGUGUUUAUAGCCUUUGCCUCUGCAAUCGGAGAGAUUGAGGUCUGCAGCGUAGAUCCUUCUGGAUUAGAUACAUUUGUGCUAAGUUAUAACCGUUUCAUAGACAACUUGUUGACUAUAUCGAUCAUGUAGCUUACUCGCUUAUGCUAAUUUUACCUACGCUUAGGAUGUUGAUAGUCACAGCGUGUAC
rnacentral:rRNA from 1 species